rnacentral:rRNA from 1 species
UACGUAGGGUGCAAGCGUUAAUCGGAAUUACUGGGCGUAAAGCGUGCGCAGGCGGUUAUGUAAGACAGAUGUGAAAUCCCCGGGCUUAACCUGGGAACUGCAUUGGUGACUGGCGAGGCUUUGAGUGUGGCAGAGGGAGGUAGAAUUCCACGUGUAGCAGUGAAAUGCGUAGAGAUGUGGAGGAAUACCAGAGGCGAAGGCGGCAACCUGGACAAGCACUGACACUCAACUGCGAA